UCCGAUGAUGGCAUGGAAUCUUUGAGACCUGAAUUCAUGUAAUUUGAUGAAAAUUACAAGCUUAAUUACUGAGGAC